rnacentral:rRNA from 1 species
UACGUAGGUGGCAAGCGUUAUCCGGAUUUACUGGGUGUAAAGGGCGUGUAGGCGGGAAAGCAAGUCAGACGUGAAAACCAUGGGCUCAACCUGUGGCCUGCAUUUGAAACUGUUUUUCUUGAGUACUGGAGAGGCAGACGGAAUUCCUAGUGUAGCGGUGAAAUGCGUAGAUAUUAGGAGGAACACCAGUGGCGAAGGCGGUCUGCUGGACAGCAACUGACGCUGAGGCGCGAAAGCGUGGGGAGCAAACAGG